GACGUAGGGCGCGAGCGUUGUCCGGAUUUAUUGGGCGUAAAGAGCUCGUAGGCGGCUUGUCGCGUCGACUGUGAAAACUCGGGGCUCAACUCCGAGCUUGCAGUCGAUACGGGCAGGCUAGAGUUCGGUAGGGGAGACUGGAAUUCCUGGUGUAGCGGCGAAAUGCGCAGAUAUCAGGAGGAACACCGGUGGCGAAGGCGGGUCUCUGGGCCGAUACUGACGCUGAGGAGCGAAAGCGUGGGGAGCGAACAGG
rnacentral:rRNA from 1 species